GGUGCCUAGAGUGAAUUGCUUUAGUUGUACUAUGAAUUUCAAUAAUUGCUUCAAGCAAAACAAGGGGAAGAUGAGGCAUAUCUGAGGCACAGAGAGGUUAAGUUGGGGACUGAAGUGUGGCUCCAGAAUCUAAGUUUCUAACUGCCAUGCUAUGAUGUUUUUCAGACUGACCCCACUGGACUCAUGACUCAUGGACUCAGCUGGUCCUGUGGCCCUACCCAGAAGUGGACUCAGCACACGAGGACCAUUUCCCACACUCCUGUGAUUUCAUCCCCAAUUAUUCAGCAGUACCCUUUCCAUAGCCCCUUGCCCACCAAGUUGUCCAUAAAAACCCUAGCCUCUGAGCUUUUGGGGAGAUGGAGUUGAGUAAUAACUCCAUCUACUGCAUGGCUGGCCUUGUGUCAAUUAAACUUUUUUCUUUACUGCAAUAACAUGGUCUCAGUGAACUGAUUUUGUUCAUGCAGGAGGCAGGAAAAGCCCCUUGGGUGAUUACACAGUGGUUCUCAAAGUAUGGACCUCCAACCAGCAGCAUCAGCAGCAUCUGGAUACUUGCUAGAAAUGGAAAUUCUCUGGCCCUAUUCCAGGCCUUCCAAGUUGGAAACUUUGUGAUGGGGCCCAGCACUCUGUGUUUUAACAAGCCCUCUAGCCUUAAGGAAAACAACUCUGAGGACUUUUGUCACGGACUUGAAAUUCUCAUCUGUGCUUGGACAAGACUCUGAAACAUACCAACUGUGUAUUUUCCUGCCUUUGGUAAAUCUGGAGCUAUUAACUGAUUCUAAAGAACAUUUGACUUAAAAAGACUAUGGAAAGCCCAAAGAAUAAAGUAGAUAAUGAAGACCCCAGUGGAUUAUUAUUAGCAAAUGAAAACUGGAUAUCAAGAAGGGCAAAAUCUUCAACCUUAUCAGCAGAAAGAGUUUAUGUAAAAAUAUACCACAUAGAAUAACUAAAAAAAUAAGCAAGUGAUACCUUAUCUGAGCUCAAAAUAUCUGUUUCUUUGCAAAUGGAUAAAGGAUUUAUUAUAUUAUAGCACCUUGAGGACAGAGACUUUAUGUUUCUAACUACCCAUCCCAGCAUCAUCUAGUUCAUUCCUAUGCUGAACAGCCCCUAACACAUUGCCUAAAUAAAUACUAACAUUAUAUGUGUGCAAUGAAGUAUUCUUUUGCUAAAAGCAAAACUUUCAUAUGGUCUUACAAUAAGCCACUUGUAAGACUAGUUUUAAAUAAUUACUGAUACAAAUGCUGCCACUGCCCCCAAAGAAACCUGAAUAAAAUUAUGUUAGGCUGCACUAAUUUCAGUGUCAAGCUAUUUAACUCUGCUGAUAGUCAUUUUUUUAAAGAUCUUUUGAUCUUUAAAUUGAGAGAGUUGAACUAAAUAAUCUUUUAGAUAUCUUCUAGUUUAAUAUUCUAAGAUUCUAGUAAAUAUAUUGUGUUUGGUCAGGUGUGGUGGCUCAUGCCUGUAAUCCCAACAUUUUCAGAGGCUG
rnacentral:lncRNA from 1 species